CGAACGAGAACCCUUGGAUCGUCUGGGGGGGAGAGUGGCGAACUGGUGAGUAACACGUGGGUGACCUGCCCCGAAGACGGUGAUAACCGUUGGAAACGACGGCUAAUACCCUGAUAUACUCGGUGAUUCGGUUCAUCGAGUAAAGUGCUCCGGUGCUUCGGGAUGGGCCUGCGGCCUAUCAGCUAGUUGGUGGGGUAAUUGGCCCACCAAUGCGAAGACGGGUAGGGGGCGUGAGAGCGCGGUCCCCCACACUGGCACUGAGAUACGGGCCAGACUUCUACGGAAGUGCAGCAGUCGGGGAUAUUGCACAAUCGGCGAAAGCCGGAUGCAGCGACGCCGCGUGGGCGAUGAAUGCCUUCGGGUUGUAAAGCCCUUUUAUGGGUGGAAGAGACAAGGACGGUACCCCAAGAAUAAGCGUCGGCUAACUACGUAGCCAGCAGACGCGUGUAAACCGUAGGACCGCAAGCGUUAUCCGGAUUAACCAUUGGGCGUAAAGAGCGUUGAGGCGGUUCCGUAAGUUGGGCGUGAAAGCCCCGGGCUUAACCCGGGGAGGUCGUUCAAUACUGCGGGACUUGAGGGCAGCAGAGGGAGNCGGAAUUCCCGGUGUACCGGUGAAAUGCGUAGAUAUCGGGAGGAACACCAGUGGCGAAGGCGGCCUCCCGGGCUGUUUCUGACGCUGAAGGCGAAAGCUAGGGGAGCGAACGGGAUUAGAAACCCCGGUAGUCCUAGCCGUAAACGAUGGAUGCUGGGUGUGGGGGGUAUAGAUCCCCUCCGUGCCGAAGCUAACGCGUUAAGCAUCCCGCCUGGGGAUUACGGCCGCAAGGCCUAAACUCAAACGAAUUGACGGGGGCCCGCACAAGCAGCGGAGCGUGUGGUUUAAUUCGAUGCUACACGAAGAACCUUACCUGGGCUUGACAUGUAGGUAGUAGUGAAGCGAAAGCGGAACGACCCUUCGGGGAGCCUACACAGGUGCUGCAUGGCUGUCGUCAGUUCGUGCCGUGAGGUGUCGGGUUAAGUCCCGUAACGAACGCAACCCUUGCCCUUAGUUACAUGUGUCUAAGGGGACUGCCCGGGACAACUGGGAGGAAGGUGGGGAUGACGUCAAGUCAGCAUGGCCUUUAUGUCCAGGGCUACACACACGCUACAAUGGCCGGUACAAUGGGUCGCCAAGCCGUGAGGCGGAGCCAAUCCCCCAAAGCCGGUCUAAGUUCGGAUUGUGGGCUGCAACUCGCCCAUAUGAAGCUGGAGUUGCUAGUAACCGCGCGUCAGCAAUAGUGCGGUGAAUACGUUCCCGGGCCUUGUACACACCGCCCGUCACGUCAUGGAAGCUGGCAACACCUGAAGCCAGUGAGCUAACCCGCAAGGGGGCAGCUGUCGAAGGUGGGGCUGGUGACUGGGACGAAGU
rnacentral:rRNA from 1 species